AGCGUAGACGGAAUGGCAAGUCUGAUGUGAAAGGCCGGGGCUCAACCCCGGGACUGCAUUGGAAACUGUCAAUCUAGAGUACCGGAGGGGUAAGUGGAAUUCCUAGUGUAGCGGUGAAAUGCGUAGAUAUUAGGAGGAACACCAGUGGCGAAGGCGGCUUACUGGACGGUAACUGACGUUGAGGCUCGAAAGUAUGGGUAGCAAACA
rnacentral:rRNA from 1 species